ensembl:ncRNA lncRNA:CR44376 long non-coding RNA:CR44376
GCAACAUGGUGUUCUGAGCGAGUAUCUGAAGCGAAUAAACGAAACGAAACGGAACAGGAGCAAUUCCUUCACUUGUCAGCUAGGAAGCUCACCCCCAAAAAAGGAGAAAAAAUAACCCCCUACCAAGAAAGGAAGCCAGCUCACUUUCUCACUGCGACUGUCAAAAACUCAUUUAUUAUUUAAAUAAUAUGCAAAGGAGACGGGGCCGAAGGAAACACGAAUAAAAUUCAGCCUGUUGUUCAUUUUUAUUUGGAGGGGCCAGUGCAGAAGGAAAAGCAACAAAAACUUUUGUGUCAAAGUUCGAGCGUCUUUUUUUUUAUGAUGAUGAAGAUGAUGAUGAUGAGGCCCGACAAGUUAAAUUUCCCUCGGCCCAAGGAUGUUCGGUGUCAGUCCGCAGACAUCCGCUGUCAGUUGGUGUGGCGAGAAAAGAUACAAAAUUUGGCAAAGCAAGUUUUCGCAAUUCGAACAAGACAAUACAAAUCAAAUAGUUGAUUGCACAUGCAAAAAACAAUUCGCCAGUUCAUUUGAGACAUUUCGGCCUUAUUGUAAAUCUGGCUAAAUUGAUACACUUUUGUUUUGCUCAAAUUAAAUUAAGAUAAU